CACCAUGGAUAGGGAUGCACCAAGAGUAUUCCUGAUCGGGGCAAACCCCUACCCUUCAAUCAUUGGCCUUUUUUCUAGAUUGUUGCUGCAUUUUUUUCCGUAACUAUCUAUUUGUGGGCUGCUGAUUGGAAGAGUAUAGUCUUCCAGUUGGAUACUUUUAGAGCAUCCCCUUCAUUGGUGGACCCAUCAGAUCGAUGCUCCAGAUCAAUGAAGCAGGGCCUGCUUGCAUAUAUUGGGUUAUAUAUUGCAUAAUAGGUGUCUAAGAUUAUAUGAAUUGUUUGCCUCAUUUUAUGCCCUUAUGGUUAACAUUCGUUAUUAUUAGUCAUAAAAAUUGUCUCUGCAGGCCCAAAAGAUCCUAUUACUUAUGAUUGCUAAAUGAGCAACAAUUGCUGUCUCUGCAGACCUGAAAGAUCCUAUUCUUUUUGUUUGAUCUGAUUAAAAUAUUCAACAGCUUUUAAUUUGACUUUUACUAGUUUAAAAUUUUAGGAAUGGUCUAAACUGUUGAAUAUUUAAAUCAGAUUCUGUUAAAUUUGCAUCUACUUUUAGUUUUUAUUUUUAUUUUUUUGAUAUGCAGAAUGGGCUUCUUGUUUUGGUUUUUCUCUUUUCUUAUCAAAGGGAAGGUUUAGCUGUAGAAGAGGAUAGUGGAAAUUGCUGAUGUUUUUUUUUUUUUUUUUUAAUCUGAUUUUGUUAUGUGUUAAGCUUGUGACUGUUCCUGAGAAAUGGGGUCCUUUGUUUGUUUGGAUCUUUGUUGUCAGUUAGGUUUAUGAGUACAGCAGAGUUUCUAUGUAUGGAUGUCUUUUAGAAGAAGCCUCACAUGCAUGCCACAAUUUUAUAAAAGUUGAGUACAGCAGAGUUUUACACAAGUUUUAACCAAAUGUGUCCAUGGAUUAGUCUUAAAAUUCAUGUUUGUGAACUGACAGCUCAUCUUUUUGAAAUGGACGCACAUCUCCACCUGCACUUGAAUAUUUUGCUACUUUGCUUCAUGCUUCAUGCCACUAUAAAUCAACCAGUGAGCCCCACAUGUACAAGCUAUGACUGGAGGAUCAUAUAAUGCCCCUUUAGUUCAUGAAGGAAUUUGUAAAAAUCUCUUAACAAGUCCAUUUUUUUUUCUACAUCAGGAAGUUGUUAUUGAAGGACAAGAUAAGGUAUUCAAAGAUGUGAUUGAGCCAUUAGAAAGUGUGAGUGUCAACCUGGUCAAAACCAGUAAACAGAGCAUUCGAGAACUUGGCUCCCACAAGAGACGGUGGCUUCUUUACUCAAAGACUCCUCUACGGAUACUGUGGAAAGUCUAAAAGCUGCUUCUGAAGAUAGUCAGAUUCCCAGCUUUUGCUAGGAGUUGUCAGGGAAACUACCUUGUAGUUUGGUCCUCAUGGAGGAUGCAGCCAGCAAGGAGAGGAAGCUGGAGGAGAUGAAGAGAGAUCAAGUGAUCUCUAGAGCUCUUAAUUCAGUUGCCCUAGUCAGAGCAGAGGUUGAUAAGCUCUCACAAAAGAUUUAUUCGAAGUCGUUGAUCGAAGACCAAAGCUAGUUGCAAGUGAGUUGUCAGAUGAGCAGUCUAUACAGCCACCAGCUUCCAAUGGUAAAGAAACUCAAGCCAAGAGGGAGAAAUCAAAGGAGAAGGUUCAGUUGACACUCUCCAUUGCUGAACCUCCUAAUCCUACAACAAGUGUGACAUCUGAUAAAGAUGAAGAUGCCCCAUUGGAAAAUGUUGUUGCCGUGUUCAGUAAUUUUACAGGCCAAAAAAGUACAGAUAUUUUUGGCGAGUUGUGGACAUUGAAGCCAUUGCCUGAAGAAAGGAAGUGCCAUUAUCAGUCAUCAGAUUUGACGCCAC